rnacentral:tRNA from 1 species
GGAGAGGUGGCCGAGUGGCUGAAGGCGGCACCGUGCUAAGGUGUUAGCUCCGCAAGGGGCUCGAGGGUUCGAAUCCCUCCCUCUCCG